rnacentral:rRNA from 1 species
AUCGAACGCUGGCGGCAGGCCUAACACAUGCAAGUCGAACGAGUGGCGGACGGGUGCGUAAUGUCUGGGAAAAUGCCUGAUGGAGGGGGAUAACUACUGGAAAUGGUAGCUAAUACCGCAUAACAUCAGAUGUUCCCAGAUGGGUUUAGCUAGUUGGGGGGGUAACGGCUCUCCAAGGCGACGAUCCCUAGCUGGUCUGAGAGGAUGACCAGCCACACUGGAACUGGGACACGGUCCAGACGCCUACGGGAGGCAGCAGUGGGGAAGAUUGCACAAUGGGCGCAAGCCUGAUGCAGCCAUGCCGCGUGUAGGAAGAAGGCCUUCGGGUGGUAAAGUACUUUCAGCGGGGAGGCGUUACCCGCAGAGGAAGCACCGGCUAACUCCGUGCCAGCCGCCGCGGUAAUUC